GUGUGGAAGCUUGACUUGUUUUUUAAGUACAUCAAAGGUGACUUUAAAAACAACCUUUGGAUUAAACUGACUCAUCCACAGCUUUCUAGAUAAUGUUCCAUUAUUGAAUUUCUAAAAGCAUGUCUUUUAAAUGUCAUUCUAAAAUGGUUCAAGCUAGUAUUUCCAUUUUUUUAUUAUUAAACUACACAAUUCGGUUUCUUCGCUUAGAGACUCCUCCACACAGACAGCCAAGGAAGCCGAUGAGUAUCUGACUGAGCCCAAACAGGGUCUCAAGAAUGCCCACAAGCAGUAGACCUAAAAAUACUGAGAAAUGGAUAAUCCUAUGCUUGUUUUCCAUAGAAUUGAAGUGUAAGCUGUAUGUUCUCCAGUUACUGGCUGUUGUGUUGUUGUUGGAGGGAUUAUUGAAAUCCGUAGGAGAAACACAAGAGUCGUCAAAGAACCACUGCAGAUUGAAGGAUUCUGGAUGAAUGGCACUGGACAAAAUGAAAGAAAUGAUAAAGAUAAGAUAUUCAGGAAUACCACUGACCGUCUAAAGAAUGCAGCAUUGUGCCUAGAAAAGGACAUGUAUGGUAAAACAGAAAGUGCUUUUGUAACAUCGUGCCCAGAAACUAUAGCUAAGAUGAGGGUUUCUGAGCAUGUGCCGUUGUACUCUUAACAGUUGUAAAACGUUGACAUCGUAUAUCCCAUCACUCAACAAGCAUCUACAGAGGAUCUACUCUUAGAUUGAACUGUAUGAAAUUUUCUAUGUCAGAAAGGGUUGAAUAUUAAGUUUCCUGUGGUCGCACCUAUUCGUGCAGGCACUCUUCUACUGGCUAAAGAAACUAAAACAAGCUCCCCCGUUCAAGGAGCUCAGUUCUUAGUGCAAAACUGGUGUGUUGCGUCUGUUCUUAAACCCGAUGUACAAUGUUUACUCACAAAAGGCAUUUCAAAUAUGUCUGGUUAAAACCUUGUUGUAACAAGGUAUGGAGAAUGAGAAACUUUUAGCCCUAACACAUCUGUCCUGACAUGAUUUAUCUUUGGUUUUCUACAGUAGGACUAAGUGUUCUUAGAGAGUUUGCAUUUCUGCAUACCAGCAACUGAUGUGCAGCCUGGGAAGAACAACAGCAUGUCAGCACGUGGAAUAUGAGUAUGCUCAUUGCAGUUUGCAGCGAGCGUAGGGUCACUCUUCUGUAAUUGUUUACUCUCCGUAACUGUCUGUCUCCCCAACUAGAGUGGGAAUACCUUGAUGCUGUGACCUCCAGCUUGGCCUGGCGCCUGGUACAUGUUUUACAAAUUGUGCCUAGAUUCAGGCCCAGAACCAUCUUACAAGACUGAAAUGAGCCAUUUCCAUGUAACUCUUCAGCAUUAUUUGUUACUCUGACCAGCCCUGCCACUGGAGCCACACGGUGAUUCAGGAGAUGCUGACGCCUCGGCGGCUUUGCUGAGAUGCCGGUAACUGCUUAUGCACCAGACCAGCUGUGCUGUGCUCACCCCGGUUUUGUUAUUGCAGCAUGCUCUUUUCCUCGCUGCUAAGGACAUCGUUGUUGCUGGAAUGACCUGGAAAUUACAUCAACAGGAACAAAGAAUAUUAUUACUUCUCAUCAGAUGAUAAAGCAAUAAUCUUCACUUUCUACUUGCCAGCAGUUGUGGGAAGCCAAGAGGCUUAAGAGAAUAAAAAGGAGAUGUGACAAUGUCCUUGAUCUUGUGACCCUUAACGAUCCCCAUUUGGACCAUAAAGAUUAAAAAGGGGGAAAGGAUGGGGGAUUUCAGUAUAGCAAUUUAAAACUUCCGUCUGCAUUUUUACUUUGAGUCAUUAGAGAGACUUGGAUUUUAAAUAAAGUUAUUUAUUCAUUA